rnacentral:tRNA from 1 species
GCGUAGUUCAAUUGGUAGAAUACCGGUCUCCAAAACCGGGGGUUGUGGGUUCGAGUCCCUCCGCU